rnacentral:rRNA from 1 species
AACGAACGCUGGCGGCAGGCCUCAUACAUGCAAGUCGAGCGGUCCUUCGGGACAGCGGCGAACGGGUUAGUAACGCGUGGGAACGUGCCCUUUAGUACGGAAUAGCCAUUGGAAACGAUGAUUAAUACCGUAUACGCCCCAAGGGGGAAAGAUUUAUCGCUAAAGGAUCGGCCCGCGUUAGAUUAGGUAGUUGGUAGGGUAAUGGCCUACCAAGCCGACGAUCUAUAGCUGGUUUGAGAGGAUGAUCAGCAACACUGGGACUGAGACACGGCCCAGACUUCUACGGAAGGCAGCAGUAGGGAAUCUUGGACAAUGGGCGAAAGCCUGAUCCAGCCAUGCCGCGUGAGUGAUGAAGGCCCUAGGGUUGUAAAGCUCUUUCGCCAGGGAAGAUAAUGACGGUACCUGGUAAAGAAACCCCGGCUAACUCCGUGCCAGCCGCCGCCGUAACAC